rnacentral:rRNA from 1 species
CCUACGGGAGGCUGCAGUGGGGAAUAUUGCGCAAUGGGGGCAACCCUGAUGCAGCAACGCCGCGUGAACGAAGAAGGCUUUCGGUAUGUAAACCUCUUUCAUCAGGGACGAAACUGACGGUACCUGCGUAAGAAUCUCCGGCUAAAUACGUCCCAGCAGCCGCGGUAAUACGUAUGGAGCAAGCGUUAUCCGGAUUUACUGGGCGUAAGGGGAGCGUAGGCGGCCUGCCAAGUCUGAUGUGAAAGACCGGGGAUCAACCCCGGGGCUGCAUUGGAAACUGUCAGGCUGGAGUGCCGGAGAGGCAGGCGGAAUUCCGAGUGUAGCGGUGAAAUGCGUAGAUAUUAGGAGGAACACCAGUGGCGAAGGCGGCCUGCUGGACGGUGACUGACGCUGAGGCUCGAAAGCGUGGGGAGCAAACAGGAUUAGAUACCCCUGUAGUC